UACGGGGGGGGCAAGCGUUGUUCGGAAUUACUGGGCGUAAAGGGCGCGUAGGCGGCCUGCUAAGUCGGACGUGAAAUCCCUCGGCUCAACCGAGGAACUGCGUCCGAUACUGGUGGGCUUGAAUCCGGGAGAGGGAUGUGGAAUUCCAGGUGUAGCGGUGAAAUGCGUAGAUAUCUGGAGGAACACCGGUGGCGAAGGCGGCAUCCUGGACCGGUAUUGACGCUGAGGCACGAAAGCGUGGGGAGCAAACAGG
rnacentral:rRNA from 1 species